UACAGAGGUCUCAAGCGUUGUUCGGAUUCAUUGGGCGUAAAGGGCGCGUAGGCGGCUUGGCAAGUGGAUGGUGAAAUCCCUCGGCUUAACCGAGGAACUGCCGUCCAAACUGCUUCGCUUGAGACCGGGAGAGGUGAGUGGAAUUCCCAGUGUAGCGGUGAAAUGCGUAGAUAUUGGGAGGAACACCAGUGGCGAAGGCGGCUCACUGGACCGGUACUGACGCUGAUGCGCGAAAGCGUGGGGAGCAAACGGGG
rnacentral:rRNA from 1 species